CACCCAGAGUCGGAGACAGUUCACCUAUUCAUCCCUGCGCUUGCGGUGGGAGCCAUCAUUGGAAAACAGGGUCAACACAUCAAACAGCUGUCACACUUCGCCGGAGCUUCAAUCAAGAUUGCCCCUGCAGAAGGAAUGGAUGCCAAACAGAGGAUGGUCAUCAUCAUAGGACCACCAGAGGCUCAGUUUAAGGCUCAGUGUCGCAUCUUUAGCAAACUGAAGGAAGAGAAUUUCUUUGGACCCAAGGAAGAGGUGAAGCUGGAGGCACACAUCAAGGUUCCUUCCUAUGCUGCUGGACGAGUCAUCGGGAAGGGUGGAAAAAC